UACAAAAAUUGGAAUCUGCCCCAAAAUAGAAAUCCAACCCAAGAGACUUUUUCUCUCUCUCUCCCUCUUCCGCCUCCUUUCAUCUAUCAAAUUUCUGCAACCUCUGCUCUUCUCCAAUGGAGCUGAAUUUUGGACACCCUAUAUUUCUUGAGCAUAUGAACAACUUUCAAGAAGGAACCAUUUCUGUUUGAGCGACGGAAAUUAAAGUGUUGAAGCUCCAAACAUGAUAGUCGGCUUCUUGCAGAUUUCGAAGCUGUUGUGAUGUUUCGAAGAUCUGGAAAUAUUUAACCGUUAGUUCAUCCUGCAUUUUUGAUA
rnacentral:lncRNA from 1 species